AUGGGGACGCCGCAGCAGAGGUACCAGCAUCACAGGGUGCGGCCGAGCGACGACGAUGACUACGCCCGGCACUGGUACGCCGAACGCGACAUCGACCGGAAGGCCUCCGAGUUCAUCGACAAGGUCCACCGCCGGAUGCUCGCCAAUGAGCAGGACGGAUAG
rnacentral:rRNA from 1 species